rnacentral:rRNA from 1 species
GAUGAACGCUGGCGGCGUGCCUAAUACAUGCAAGUCGAGCGAACAGACGCGGAGCUUGCUCCUCUGUCGUUAGCGGCGGACGGGUGAGUAACAUGUGGAUAACCUACUUAUCAGACUGGGAUAAUUUCGGGAAACCGGAGCUUAUACCGUAUAAUAUAUUGAACCGCAUGGUUCAAUAGUGAAAGACGGCUUUGCUGUCUCUUAUAGAUGGAUCUGCGCCGCAUUAGCUAGUUGGUAAGGUCACGGCUUAUCAAGGCGACGAUGCGUAGCCGACCUGAGAGAGUGAUCGGCCACACUAGAGCUGAGACACCGUCCAGGCGCCUACGAGAGGCAGCAGUAGGGAAUCUUCCGCAAUGGGCGAGAGCCUGACGGAGCGACGCCGCGUGAGUGAUGAAGGUCUUCGGAUCGUAAAACUCUGUUAUUAGGGAAGAACAAAUGUGUAAGUAACUAUGCACGUCUUGACGGUACCGAGUCAGAAAGCCACGGCUAACUACGUG